CGGAGUAUAGUUUUGAGUGCAAAAUGAUUAGUAGUUGUCUAGAUAAAAAUGGUGGGUGACCCCUGUUGUGACGUGCCACUGAGCUAUACUAUAUUACUGGAGGACCUGCUCGGUAUAAAAAAGUCUCGCCAAAAACAUGGCGGAUCUGACGCCAUUGCCAUGACUAAUGGUCCCUAGAUCCAUGGCAACUACCACUGUCCCAACCGCGAUCCUAAGCUUUCGACGAUGUACUUCACCCCCCCCCCCCUGGUUUGAGUCAAAAAAUUUUGUUUUUGAGGGGAAAAUCUCUCUGAAAAUCUUGAUAUUUUUCUUGCAAUUUGCUUGAUUUACAACGGAUACUGAAUUUUUGCGCCGCUCAUAUGUCAUAUGUACGAAAAUUCUCCAAACAAGUACUA